rnacentral:rRNA from 1 species
UCGGGAAUUUUGGGCAAUGGGCGAAAGCCUGACCCAGCAACGCCGCGUGAGGGAUGAAGGCCUUCGGGUCGUAAACCUCUGUCGGGAGGGAAGAACGGUAGCCUUUCAAACAGGUGGGCUGCCUGACGGUACCUCCAAAGGAAGCACCGGCUAACUCCGUGCCAGCAGCCGCGGUAAUACGGAGGGUGCAAGCGUUGUUCGGAAUCAUUGGGCGUAAAGCGCGUGUAGGCGGCUUGGCAAGUCGGAUGUGAAAGCCCGGGGCCCAACCCCGGAAUUGCACUCGAAACUGCCUCGCUAGAGUCCCGGAGAGGAAGGCAGAAUUCCCGGUGUAGGGGUGAAAUCCGUAGAUAUCGGGAGGAAUACCAGUGGCGAAGGCGGCCUUCUGGACGGUGACUGACGCUGAGACGCGAAAGCGUGGGGAGCAAACAGGAUUAGAUACCCCUGUAGUCC